AAGUCGUAACAAGGUUUCCGUAGGUGAACCUGCGGAAGGAUCAUUAUUGAAUAUUAGUACUGCGUACUAUGGCACCCUUUUUGUCCCAACCUGUGGAUAUGUAUAACAAUAUGAGAUUGACUGAUAGCGCGAAUGAAAUGAAUACAACUUUCAACAACGGAUCUCUUGGCUCUCAU
rnacentral:misc_RNA from 1 species